UACGUAGGGUGCAAGCGUUGUCCGGAAUUAUUGGGCGUAAAGAGCUCGUAGGCGGUCCGUCACGUCGGGCGUGAAAACCCGAGGCUCAACCUCGGGCCUGCAGUGGGUACGGGCAGACUAGAGUGCGGUAGGGGAGAUUGGAAUUCCUGGUGUAGCGGUGGAAUGCGCAGAUAUCAGGAGGAACACCGAUGGCGAAGGCAGAUCUCUGGGCCGUAACUGACGCUGAGGAGCGAAAGCAUGGGGAGCGAACAGG
rnacentral:rRNA from 1 species